GACGAACGCUGGCGGCGUGCUUAACACAUGCAAGCCGAACGGAAAGGCCCCUUUGGGGGUACUCGAGUGGCGAACGGGUGAGUAACACGUGAGUAACCUGCCCUUGACUUCGGGAUAACUUCAGGAAACUGGGGCUAAUACCGGAUAGGAAUCCUUGCUGCAUGGUGGGGGUUGGAAAGCUUCGGCGGUUUUGGAUGGACUCGCGGCUUAUCAGCUUGUUGGUGGGGUAGUGGCUUACCAAGGCUUUGACGGGUAGCCGGCCUGAGAGGGCGACCGGCCACAUUGGGACUGAGAUACGGCCCAGACUCCUACGGGAGGCAGCAGUGGGGAAUAUUGCACAAUGGGCGGAAGCCUGAUGCAGCAACGCCGCGUGCGGGAUGACGGCCUUCGGGUUGUAAACCGCUUUCAGCAGGGGCGAAGCUUUUGUGACGGUACCUGCAGAAGAAGCACCGGCUAACUACGUG
rnacentral:rRNA from 1 species